rnacentral:SRP_RNA from 1 species
CUCCGGGCUCCGUGCAAUGGGCGGCUGCAAACCCCGCCAGGUCCGGAAGGAAGCAACGGUAGUGGUUUAGCUUGUGUGCCGCGGAUCACCCGGGGUCU